GACGAACGCCGGCGGCGUGCUUACCACAUGCAAGUCGAACGAUGAAGCCGGAGCUUGCUCUGGUGAAUUAGUGGCGAACGGGUGAGUAACACGUGAGUAACCUGCCCUUGACUCUGGGAUAACUGCUAGAAAUGGUAGCUAAUACCGGAUACGACCCUCGGAGGCAUCUCCAGGGGGUGGAAAGAAUUUCGGUCAAGGAUGGACUCGCGGCCUAUCAGCUAGUUGGUGAGGUAACGGCUCACCAAGGCGACGACGGGUAGCCGGCCUGAGAGGGUGACCGGCCACACUGGGACUGAGACACGGCCCAGACUCCUACGGGAGGCAGCAGUAGGGAAUAUUGCAUAAUGGGCGCAAGCCUGAUGCAGCAACGCCGCGUGAGGGAUGACGGCCUUCGGGUUGUAAACCUCUUUUAGCAGGGAAGAAGCGAAAGUGACGGUACCUGCAGAAAAAGCACCGGCUAACUACGUGCCAGCAGCCGCGGUAA
rnacentral:rRNA from 1 species